rnacentral:lncRNA from 1 species
AUCUUGGAAAUCAUAACAAAAACAUAAAAACGUAAACUAACAAAAAUUACCAGCAAAACAAGAUCUUCAGCUAUAUAGAUAAGAUAUAGGAAGAUGUGGUGUGAGUGCCAAUGAGACAACUCUCCAUCCAAAUAACAAUUUAAAAAAUGUAAACCAUUUAAGGUCAAUGUACGGCUUUCAACACGGAGCCUUAGAUCACACCGAACAACAAGAUAUAAAGGGCCCCAAAAUAACUAGUGUAUAACCAUUCAAACAGGAAAACGAACGGUCUAAUCUAUAUACAAUUAAAAAAAAACGAGAAACAAGAACCAC